GGCAUGCAGCAUCAAGCCAAGCAUCACGAACAGAGCUAGGCAUGGGUGUAAGAGCCUGUUUGGGAGGGCUUCACUUCCUAAACUCCACUCCACCUCUAAACUUCUCUCCACCUUAGCUCCACUCCACCUGAUAAAUGUUUUUUGGACAAAAACCAGCUCCAGACUAUCCUUUUUCCUUUUGCUGAUUUACUUUUUUGUUCUUUCCAUGAUGGAUCGAUCUGAUUCUAGCAAAUGAAUCCGCAUCAAAUAAUCGAUCCAAUGACGGCGUCAUGGAGAAGCGACGUCCAGCAGCUUGAUAAAUCAAACAUGUACAGCAGCUUCAUAAAUCAGAUUCUUGUCCUCUCGCCCUGAUCGAUCCCAUGGCGGCGUCUUGGAGAUGCGGCCGGCCGGCGGCGUCUAGCAGCUUGAUGAAUAAAACAAGAACAACAGCUUCAUGAACCAGAUUUCUGGUCUCCCGAUCGAUCCCAUGGCGGCGUCAUGUAGAAGCGGCUGCGGCUGCGAAUCCUGGUGGCGGCGACGGCGGCGAAUCGCGGGCUCACCGGACGAGGAGUGCGGACUCUACCUACGGCAGAAGAUGUACACUGCCAUGGUUCAGGGAAGAUGCGUCUCCAUGGGGAGGAAGAACAGCACAAACAUGGUAGGAGGAAGAAGAGGAGUCGGGCGUUCUAUUCAGAUGGAAAAUAACGGUUCGGUAUCACUUAAUUGGCAAUUGGUGGGUAAAUAUAUCUAACUUUAGGGGAAGUGGAGCAGGUGAAACAUCUUUUUCUUAACUGCAGUAAAAUGAACUAGAAAUGUAUGCUUCCCCCAAAAAAACCCAGAGAGGUAUGUUACUCCAUUUCACCUAACAAAUGAAGUUUGUGGUGUUUGAAACAACUUCACCUGCUUCAGGGUGAAGCUGUGAAGUGAAGCUAUACCAAACAGGCUAUACAUGCGUCUUUCGAUUGCUCUGUUCCAUGGUUGCGUGUAGUUUUCAGAUUUUAGAUUCUUUGGCUUCGCUUUCUCA